GUUCGACCGGGGGAGGACCCUGACCCGGGGCUGUGUCCAGAGAGCAGGCUGUCACUUUCAAAGGUCAACGAGGAGACAUCACUUCAGCUGAGCACAUGCCUGUGGGUGAGCUGCAGUGCAACAUUCGAGUUCCUGCUGUUGAGGACCAGAUGGUGCUGAGAUAAUGAAUAACGGACUUGUCAAAAAGCAGACAUAAUGUAUAAUUCAAUACAUUUUCCAUGGAUUAGUGGAUUCGUCCACUUAAAAGUUUGUGCCAGUGUUUCCUGAGGCACCGCGUCACUCCUGAGAGACACUCGUUACAGCAGAGGCGUUACAAGCUGUUGCACAUGGGCACACACUAGAAAA